GCUGGGCAUGGUGGUGUGUGCCUGUAGUCCCAGCUACUCGGGAGGCUGAGGCAGAAGAAUCACUUGAACCCAGGAGAUAUGGGUUGCAGUGAGCCAAGAUCAUGCCACUGCACUCCAGCCUGGGUGACAGAGUGAGACUCUAUCUCAA
rnacentral:SRP_RNA from 1 species